GGGUCAGUAGGUUGGUCGUGCCACCGGUACGUACUGGUCUAACUGAUUCCUCCUUCCUGAAGAACCGUAAUGCCAUUAAUUUGGUGUUGCGGGGAAACAGGACUGUUACUUUGAAAAAAUUAGAGUGUUUAAAGCAAGCUAACGCUUGAAUACAUUAGCAUGGAAUAAUGAAAUAGGACGAUCGAUCCUAUUUUGUCGGUUUCUAGGAUUGACGUA
rnacentral:rRNA from 1 species